rnacentral:tmRNA from 1 species
CUCCCUAGCCUCCGCUCUUAGGACGGGGAUCAAGAGAGGUCAAACCCAAAAGAGAUCGCGUGGAAGCCCUGCCUGGGGUUGAAGCGUUAAAACUUAAUCAGGCUAGUUUGUUAGUGGCGUGUCCGUCCGCAGCUGGCAAGCGAAUGUAAAGACUGACUAAGCAUGUAGUACCGAGGACGUAGGAAUUUCGGACGCGGGUUCAACUCCCGCCAGCUCCACCA